rnacentral:lncRNA from 1 species
UAAAAAGGCUAAUAAAUAAAUAAAUAAAUAAAUAGUGACAAUUGAGUGGUGCUAGGGACUUUGCCCUUGAGUGGAAUUGCAUGGUUCUGGGAUUUCACAAUCCAGUGCCAAAUGUCUGUGACCCCCUGCUUACGGUUACCAAGGAUAUACUAAUUUCAACAGUCAUCACAUUGUUUCCUGAUUUCUGAAGGACCCGCCACGCUAACUCAGUCUUCUAGAAUGUUGGAAGUGGGAGCUACUGUGGGGAAGACCCAGCCGCCCUCCUGCUGGGCACAAGGAAGCGCCAGCCCUCACAGAGUCAUCUGGCAGGUGCGUGGCAGAGCACGCACGUUGGGAUCCCAGGAUCCCAACCUCCAGCUCAGAGUCCUGCAUUCAUCACAUCAUAAUGACUCCUUGGAGAACAAGCUGCUCUGGGAUCACCAGGGACACUGGGAUUUGAUCUCCAAGGGUGUUUAUUCCCAGGAGCUUCCCCGAAUGGCUGUGGUUAUAAACUACAGGGGUCCCUCUGAGAGGAAGGCAAUGUGAUGACAGAAGCAGGAGAUUGUGGUCAGAGGGAGAGAUUUGAAGAGGCUGCACUGAUGGAGGAAGGGGCCAUGAGUCCAGGAAUGCAGGCAGCCUGAAGAUGCUGGAAAAGGCAAGGAAACAGAUUUUUCCCUAGAGUUUCCAGAAGAAACACAGAGCUGUUAACACCUUGAUUUUAGAACUUCUGAUCUCCAGAACCGUAAGAUAAUAAAUUUGUGAUGUCUUAAUUUGUGGCAGUUAUUUAAAAAGGCAACAGAAAAUGAAUAUAAAUAUAUACCAUUUUUACAGUGGAAUUUAUAGUUUUAUUUGGUUACAGGAAGCUUUAAAAAUAACAUGUGGGUUAAUAUUUGUAGCUUAGUACGACUUCAUCAUUUAGAAGUUGCAAAAUAUAAAAGCAAUAAAGCUUAAUAGGUUUCUGAUGAACAUGUCUCAUCUCUUCAUUUUCCCUGUCAACAUAGAAAUGCCUCACUACAGAGCAAUAAACAUUGGAUUGAGGGUAAUUUGCUCAAUAAUGAAAUCUAGUACACAAAUGUCUGAGAAGCAUACAACAAGCGGUAGGAAAGAAGAGCUAAAAAAAAAAAAAAAAAAAAGGAUAAAGCUGAUGAAUCAUAAAUAAAACACCCCCUGAGUUGAGCAACUCCAGAUUUAUGCAAAUUCAACAUUGCCCAAAAUUUUCCAAAAGGCACAUACUACAAUUUGAAAGAAAUAGAAAAGUAUAAGAUAGCUCAUGGGCAAUGGAAAUUCAGAAUAGUAUUAUCUCAUCACUUGCUUUUAGCCUGUUUUCCCUUCAGUCCAGUCUCUUACUUCAUUCAGGUCUCCUGGUUGACAGCCUUGUUCCUGCUGUUUCGAUCUCUGUGUUUUAAUCACCCAACAGACUAUCUGGUGUCUGGCCCUCAGCAAUUCCUCCAGCAUCACCUCUCCUCCA